CAAUAGCGUAUAUUAAAGUUGUUGCGGUAAAAAAGCUCGUAGUUGGAUUUCUACCGAAGAUAGCCGGUCGGGUCUUCGACCUUGUAUCUGGUUUUGUCUUUGGUAUCCUCAUAGGGAACGUUUCUGCGCUUUAUUGCGUGGUGCGGUAUCUAUGACUUUUACUUUGAGGAAAUUAGAGUGUUCACGGCAGGCAAACGCCUUGAAUAUAUUAGCAUGGAAUAAUAACAUAGGAUCUUCGUCCUAUUUUGUUGGUUUCUAGGGCUAAGAUAAUGAUUAAUAGGGAUAAUUGGGGGCAUCUGUAUCAACGCGUCAGAGGUGGAAUUCUUGGAUUGCGUUGCGACAAACUACUGCGAAAGCAUUUGCCAAGGAUGUUUUCACUGA
rnacentral:rRNA from 1 species